rnacentral:rRNA from 1 species
CGGCGAGUGAAGCGGCAACAGCUCAAAUUUGAAAUCUGGCUCUUUCAGAGUCCGAGUUGUAAUUUGCAGAGGGCGCUUUGGCUUUGGCAGCGGUCCAAGUUCCUUGGAACAGGACGUCACAGAGGGUGAGAAUCCCGUACGUGGUCGCUAGCUAUUGCCGUGUAAAGCCCCUUCGACGAGUCGAGUUGUUUGGGAAUGCAGCUCUAAAUGGGAGGUAAAUUUCUUCUAAAGCUAAAUAUUGGCCAGAGACCGAUAGCGCACAAGUAGAGUGAUCGAAAGAUGAAAAGCACUUUGGAAAGAGAGUCAAACAGCACGUGAAAUUGUUGAAAGGGAAGCGCUUGCAGCCAGACUUGCUUGCAGUUGCUCAUCCGGGCUUUUGCCCGGUGCACUCUUCUGCAGGCAGGCCAGCAUCAGUUUGGGCGGUGGGAUAAAGGUCUCUGUCACGUACCUCUCUUCGGGGAGGCCUUAUAGGGGAGGCGACAUACCACCAGCCUAGACUGAGGUCCGCGCAUCUGCUAGGAUGCUGGCGUAAUGGCUGUAA